rnacentral:lncRNA from 1 species
AGAAAGCACUCUCGAACUUUAUUUUGUUUUUAUCAAUCCAUCUUGUGAAGAAUCUAUUGGAGCAUUGAAACAGGAGUUUGCUUUAGAUUUAUUAGGUGAAGGAUCAAUGUGCUGCAUAUUUUCAACUAGAUUUCUGUCCCUCCCCAACCUGCCCUUCUUUCACAGUGCGCUGCUGCUGGUUUUGACCAUGGAGCAGUCUCUCUCUCUCUCUCUCUUGCUUUCUUCUCUAUAGCCUCAAAUCUGUCAGUAAGUAGUACGUUCCUUUCCGUUUGGUUUGAAGGAAAAGAAAACAGAGAAAGUACAGAGGGAACCAUUGCCAAGGUGGUGAUAAGCUCUAGACAUGCAGGAGAUGGUGGGGAGAACAAGGGUGUAAGUGACGUCUGACCCAUUUAUACUUAACCCAAAUUGAGUUUUUUGUCGACCUAUCUAGGACAUAGCUUUAUAUUUGGAUUUCUUCACAACUAGGUGGAGAGGAAAGAGAGUGCUGGCUUUCAUGAGCUUAAGUCAGCUAUGCUUAUUACCAGUUUUGUAAGAAUUUUUGUAAUAGUUUUUCUGUAUGCUUGAAAGUUAAAACUGUCUCCUUUCGGUACUAGCAGAUCCUUAACACGUUCCAACUAUCUAAGGCUGUGUAAGCUGUAAGGUAAACGUAAAUAUAAUAAUCUCCAUUUUCCCUGUGAUGAUUCAAGAAAGUUAGUUGGUUAUAUUUUAUUGUCCUUGGAUUAGAGAAUCAAAGGAUAUAAUAAUAAUCCCACGUUAUAAGAAGAAACGAUGAACACCCACUCUCUCCGCUAGUCCAGGCUACAGCUUUGCAAUUUCCAUACUCUGUAAAGAUGUCGAACUCCGAUGGUAUCCAAUCCUGUCUUCAUGUAGCUCUCUUACCUAGCUCUGGCAUGGGUCAUCUGAUACCUUUCCUUCGACUUGCUGCCUCGUUUCUCCGCUGCCAUUGCCAACUCACUUUGAUCACCACAGACCCUGUGGUCUCCCUGGCUGAAUCUCAACUCAUCUCUCGUUUCCUUUCUGCGUUUCCUCCAGUUACUGAAAAGAAAUUUACACUCCUCCCUCUUGAUCCAGCCACGGCCAAUUCCACCGACCCUUUUACGCUCCAAUGGGAGACUAUUCGCCGGUCAGCACAUCUUCUGUCUCCUCUCAUCUCCUCUCUAUCUCCACCUCUCUCAUUUAUCGUCACUGAUAUAACCUUGAUGUCCUCUGUCAUUCCAAUCACUGCAAACCUGUGUCUCCCUAACUACAUGCUCUUCACAUCGUCAGCCAGAAUGUUCUCCCUUUUGGCAUACUUCCCUUCAACCAAGACUGCUGAUGGUUCUUUUCAGUUUGGCAAUGUCAUUGAAAUUCCAGGCAUUCCACCAAUACCCAGAUCAUCACUGCCUCCUGUACUUUUAAACUCAAACAGUCUAUUUGCUAAAAAUUUUUCAGAAAACAGUCAGACGAUCACUAAAUUGAACGGGGUUUUGAUCAACACCUUUGAAGGGCUAGAAAAACAAGCUCUAGAUGUGCUUAAUAGUGCAAAAGGGUUGCCGACAGUGUUCCCUAUCGGACCUCUUCUGCGCUGUGAGUUUGAGGGAGCAGAAUCUCUUGCCACUUUGAAGUGGCUUGACAAUCAAAAGGAAGGGUCGGUACUAUAUGUUGGCUUCGGAAGUAGGACAGCCACGUCAAAGGAGCAAAUAAGAGAGAUCGGGAUGGGGCUACUCUUGAGUGGAUGUAAAUUCUUGUGGGUGGUGAGGACUAAGAUACUUGACAAAGAGGAAGAAGAGGGUUUGGAUGAGAUACUGGGGUAUGAACUAAUGCAGAGGAUCAAGAGUAGUAAUAAUGGUUUGGUCGUAAAAGAAUGGGUGAAUCAAUUUGAAAUACUAAGUCACAAGGCUGUGGGUGGUUUCCUGAGCCAUUGCGGGUGGAAUUCGGUGGUGGAGGCUGCCCUGAAUGGAGUGCCUAUGCUGGCAUGUCCACAACGUCAGUUUGGGGAUCAGAGGAUUAAUCUAGAGGUGGUUGAAGCCGCGGGAUGGGUCCUGUGUGUGAAGAGUUCGGGGUGGGGUGAGGAUGUUUUGUUGAAGGGAGAGGAGAUUGGGGAGAAAAUUAAAGAACUCAUGGCCAGUGAAUCAGUAAAACUGGAAGCCGCAAGAAUUGGUCAAGAGGCAAGGAAGGCCGCUGGGGUUGGUGGAAGUUGCGAGGAUUCGCUCAAGAAACUUUUGCAGAGCUGGAACAAGGCGCACUGAGAGAUUCAUGGAUUCAUUUCUCUGACAGUUAGCAGCUUCGUGCCAGCUAUUCUCUGUUUAGUGUUCUCAUAUAUGUUUUAUUACCACUUGUUUGUGCCAUAUGUAGUCUUGUUGUAGGUUGCAACUGGCUUUGUUUUACCGGCAGGUGGCCAUUCCGACAACAGCUGUUUAUAAUCCAAUUAAUAAGAUAUUAUUUCUAUGGCAAUCAAAAUCUCUCAGACGCGACCUCGAUUUCCUCUCUCUCUCUCUCUCACCCUCAUUCCAGUCACCUGAAAUCUGUCUCCCUACCUUCAUUUUCCAUUACUGUACGUUUCCAGGGCUGAUGAUGGUUCUUUACAGUUCGGUGAUGUGAUCUAUGUUCCAGGCAUUGAUCCAUUACUACCAAGAUCAUCACCUGCUCCACCACUGUUAAACUCGAACAGUCAUUGCAAAAGUUUUCUGAGAAGACAGUCCCAAUCUCUUGAAACUCAAUGGGGUGCUGCUGCUCAACACGUUUGAAGGGCUGGAAAAUUAAAAUUAUUGCAAAAGUUUUCAAGGCUAUGCUUGAAGGAUGAAUGACUCAUGGCAGGUGGCUGGAGUGUGAUGUGCUCAUUAAAAGUAAAUUUCUGGACAAAUUGCACAAAUUACGGACAAAAAGAGAACACUCUUGAACUUUAUUUUGUUUUUAUCAAUCCAUCUUGUGAAGAAUCUAUUGGAGCAUUGAAACAGGAGUUUGCUUUAGAUUUAUUAGGUGAAGGAUCAAUGUGCUGCAUAUUUUCAACUAGAUUUCUGUCCUUCCCCAACCUGCCCUUCUUUCACAGUGCGCUGCUGCUGGUUUUGACCAUGGAGCAGUCUUUCUCUCUCUUGUUUUCUUCUCUAUAGCCUCAAAUCUGUCAGUAAGUAGUAUGUUCCUUUCUGUUUGGUUGGAAGGAAAAGAAAAGAGAGA